AGACACUUGGGGCCUGUGUUGUAUCUAGUAUCACUAAAAAUAAAUGCCGCUGCUGGCCAUAUUCAACAGGUUGACUCUGGGGAUCGGCGGUUGGGACACAUGGAGAGUUUCUAGUAUGAGGUCCAGCUGGUUUGCUGCUGUUUGACGAAGUGGUGCUCCAUGGAGAGAACAACUUUCGCCUGCAACCUCAAGAGGAUUGCAAUCUAGGUCAAAGCCCAUUUGCAGAGGUAACACAAAACACACACACACACACACACACACACACACACACACACACACACACACACACACACACACACACCCUGGAAUCCAAUAAAGUGUACAUCACUGUAAUGUUGCAGCUGGUAAAGGUGGGGCUAAUUAAAUAUAAUAAUUUAGCUCAAUCCAUAAUAAUACCUUAUAAUGUAUUAGUAGAUUUAAAUGUUGUAACUAAGUUGUUCAGUAAUUUAGUUAAGUAACUAAAGUUAACAAAUGAGUGGGGUAAAAGGUACAAUAUAUUGCUUGCGAAAAAGAGAUAUAACAAUAAAGAAUUCAAUGGCUUGUUCUAAAAAAAAACUUAUUAAGCACUUGUUAACAUUUAAAGCUGCUGUUUUAAUGGGUUGUUAGCCAUUAACCAUUAAUAAAGCAAUUAGUUACAGCUUAUAUACUGUUUAUAAAAGGUGCCUUAUUAAAAAAUGAUAAAUAAAUGCAAGUCCAUUGUUCAUUCUGUAAUGUAAAUCAUGCAGAGUCCUGAUGCUGUUCAGGCUUUUAGCCCCUCCAUUCAUGUAAUUAACUUUCUAUCUUGCCACUCAAGCUCCAUUUGGACAAGGGAGUUGAGGAGAGGCUGCAGAAUGAAAGACUGAACUAAUAAGUAUGUGUUAGAGAAGGGCGUGACACGUCCAGAUGUUUAUUUAGUUUUUUAUUGACACGGUCACAGAUGCACGGGAAAGCCUUAAGAAAGCUGGAAGAAGUAUCAACAUUCCUCGGCACUCCCACUCUUCUUUUAGCUGUUUGAGAAUUUAACCCUGUUCAGCGUUUCAGCCCUACCAGCUUUUUGCCUAUGUCAGCUGAAUGUAUUUAGACACACACACUUCAAUAUACACACACAGACACUCACAGAUGCCUGCUUGGGUCCAAACACAAGCAGUGCAGGGUUUGCCUGGACAGUAUAGAUGCUAUAAUCACAUCUCAGGUCAACGACCUCAACAGCGGUCUAGCCUGAAAGAUGGAUUGUUUUGUGUACACAAAGAUUAGAAGAUUCUGCACAAACAGGACACUGCUCAUGUGAUCGCUACUGUAAAUGUUACCAUCCGUAUCCGUGCUUUCCUUCAUGUUGUAGAUAGUGCUUAUUUAUCCAGCCUAGCUUAAGCGUUCACCAUGCAUGUGUUAGAAGCCUUUGUGAAGCGGGGAAUUUCUUUCCUGAAACUGCCGGAGAAAAUCCAACUUGAUGUUAGUUAUGACCACAGUGGCAUCCCAGAGCACUAAAUCAUAGGAUUGCAUAGGAUCAAACACACAUGGAAAAACUCACUUGCACAGCCACAGACAGCCUGUGAAUGUAUUUUAGGCCAGAGGUAAAUGAUUUCGACCUUUUACCUCCUCUCUCUCUCUGUCUUUCUCGCUCCUUGUCCAUGCGUCUCUCUCACACCUGUUGUCAGACCCAUGCAUGCCAGAGAUUUGUUCCGUCACACACACAUGUGCCAGUUUAGACACACUAAUAGAUAAGAGAAGGGAGGCAACUGGGGGACGGUGUGUCCCUGCUUUUUCGGAACAACUGUGUGUGUGUGUGUGUGUGUGUUCAUUAUUACACAAAUUCCAAAGAUCAUCAGACUAUUUGCAGAUAGGGGUAUUUCAUCAGAGACAGACAGACGAUAAGUGGACAUUUGUGCUUAUCAAUGCAGUCUUUCCGUUAGUUUGACCUCAACCCCAACCCCCUCCAACAAAAGAAAACCUAUCCUCCCCUCAGGCUCUGUUUGUUUUUGCUCUGCCUUCUGUUCUCUUAAGCUUGGGUGUCUUUAGGUGGCGUGGUUGCUCUCACUGA